rnacentral:rRNA from 1 species
AUGGCCGUGUCCAUGGCGAUGUCCAGAGCUCUCGCCGUGCGCCAGCCCAACCAUUUUCGCCACCGCCUCGUGUCGACGAGCUCCCAGCAGGCGUCACCGCCGCGGCCGCCUCUUCUAUCCCCUCGCGGACCAAGCCUCACGCUCGCCGCGCGCCCGCGGAUGCUGCCGGCGAGACCCAGGCUCUCGGGAAGCGAAUCGGACCUGUCGCCGACGCCGCUCUCGGAGCGCACCAUGACGGCCUGGGACCUGGCCAGCCUCUGGAUCGGCCUCGUGGUCGGCGUGCCGUCCUACUACCUCGCCGGCAGCCUCGUCGACCUGGGCAUGUCCGCUCUCCAGGGCGUCGCCACGGUCGCCUUCGCCAACCUAGUCGUCCUCGUCUGCCUCGUGCUCACGGCCGCGCCGGCGGUCACGCACGGGCUGCCGUUCCCGGUGCUCGCGCGCGCCACGUUCGGCGUCCGCGGGGCGCACGUACCGGCAGUCAUCCGCGCCCUCGUCGGCUGCGGCUGGUUCGGCAUCGAGUCCUGGAUCGGGGGACGCGCCGUGUUCCUUCUCCUGCCGUCAGCCCUCAAGACGUACCAGCCGCUGCUCACGCCGGUGCCCGGCCUCGGCGCGGCGCCGCUCGAGUUCGCGUGCUUCCUGGCCUUCUGGGCCGCGCAGCUCGGCGUCAUCAUGAACGGCAUGGAGGGCAUCCGGAAGCUGGAGAGGUACUCGGCGCCGGUGCUCAUCGUGCUCACCUCCGCGCUGCUCACCUGGGCAUACGUGUCCGCGGGCGGCUUCGGCCGCAUCCUCUCGCUGCCGCCGCGGCUGACGGGCGCCGAGUUCUGGAAGGUGUUCUUCCCGGCGCUCACGGCGAACAUUGGCUUCUGGGCGACCGUGGCCAUCAACAUACCGGACUUCGCGCGGUACGCGCGCAGCCAAGCGGACCAGGUGCUCGGCCAGGCCGGGCUGCCGGUGUUCAUGGGCAUGUUCACCUUCGCGGGGCUCGCCGUGACCUCCUCCACCGAGGCCAUAUUCGGCCACAUCAUCUCCGACCCAAUCGAGCUCCUGGGGCGCAUCGGCGGGCCGGCGACGACGGUCCUCGCCAUCUUCGGCAUCAGCCUGGCGACCAUCACGACCAACAUCGCUGCCAACGUGGUGGCGCCGGCGAACGCGUUCGUCAGUAUGAGCCCACGGAGGUUCACGUUCUCGCAGGGGGCGCUCAUCACCGCGUUGCUGGGCAUCGCCUGCCAGCCAUGGCGGCUGCUCAGCUCCAGCGAGAGCUUCGUCUACACCUGGCUGCUCGGCUACUCGGCGCUCAUGGGACCCAUAGGAGGGGUCAUCCUCGCCGACCACUACAUUGUGAGGCGCACCGCCUUGGACGUCGACGCGCUCUACUCGGAGGAGAGGGAGAGCCCCUACUAUUUCCAGGGCGGUUUCAACGUUGCCGCCAUGGUGGCGAUGGCGGCCGGAGUUGCGCCGAUCGUGCCGGGGUUUCUUCACAAGGUUGGCGUUCUGCCGAGUGUCUCCGGUGCACUCGUCGCGGCCUAUAACAAUGCCUGGUUUGUGAGCUUUUUCGUCGCCGGCACCGUCUACUGCCUGCUCUGUCGCCGGAGAGGCGGUGAAGUGAAAUACCAAAGCAGUUGA